UACAGAGGUCUCAAGCGUUGUUCGGAUUCAUUGGGCGUAAAGGGUGCGUAGGCGGCGCGGUAAGUCGGGUGUGAAAUCUCGGAGCUUAACUCCGAAACUGCAUUCGAUACUGCCGUGCUUGAGGACUGGAGAGGAGACUGGAAUUUACGGUGGAGCGGUGAAAUGCGUUGAUAUCCGAAGGAACGCCGGUGGCGAAAGCGACGGGCUGGAUCUCUUCUGACGCUGAGGCGCGAAAGCCAGGGGAGCAAACGGG
rnacentral:rRNA from 1 species